UUCGGGGGCUGAUUUUUUUGCGCGGCUUGCCCCGUGGCCUAUUUUUGGCACACGGAGGCCGCCCGCCAAGUAUGGUGCCAUUCCGAGUCCCGCGGACGAACUUCGCCCACGCCCCCCACCAAGGCUAUAGCCCACCCGUUUUUUGGCCAUUUUUCCGCUGGGCGGUCUUGGGACCCCGACCUUCGGGGGCUGAUUUUUGGGCGCGACUGUGCCCGUGGCCUAUUUUUGGCAAACGGAGGCUGCCCGCCAAGUCUGGGGCCAUUCCGAGUCGCGCGGACGAACUUCGCCCACGCCCCCCACCAAGGCUAUAGCCCACCCGUUUUUUGGCCAUUUUUCCGCUGGGGGGUCUUGGGACCCCGACCUUCGGGGGCUGAUUUUUGGGCGCGGCUGUGCCCGUGGCCUAUUUUUGGCACACGGAGGCCGCCCGCAAAGUAUGGUGCCAUUCCGAGUCCCGCGGACGAACUUCGCCCACGCCCCCCACCAAGGCUAUAGCCCACCCGUUUUUUGGCCAUUUUUCCGCUGGGGGGUCAUGGGACCCCGACCUUCGGGGGCUGAUUUUUGGGAGCGGCUGUGCCCGUGGCCUAUUUUUGGCACACGGAUGCCCCCCGCCAAGUCUGGUGCCAUUCCGAGUCCCGCGGACGAACUUCGCCCACGCCGCCCACCAAGGCUAUAGCCCACCCGUUUUUUGGCCAUUUUUCCGCUGGGGGGUCUUGGGGCCCCGACCUUCGGGGGCUGAUUUUUGGGCGCGGCUGUGCCCGUGGCCUAUUUUUGGCACACGGACGACGCCCGCCAAGUCUGAGGCCAUUCCGACUCCCGCGGACGAACUUCGCCCACGCCCCCCACCAAGGCUAUAGCCCACCCGUUUUUUGGCCAUUUUUCCGCUGGGCGGUCUUGGGACCCCGACCUUCGGGGGCUGAUUUUUUUGCGCGGCUGUGCCCGUGGCCUAUUUUUGGCAAACGGAGGCUGCCCGCCAAGUCUGGGGCCAUUCGGAGUCGCGCGGACGAACUUCGCCCACGCCGCCCACCAAGGCUAUAGCCCACCAAUUUUUUGGCCAUUUUUCC
rnacentral:lncRNA from 1 species